rnacentral:rRNA from 1 species
AACGAACGCUGGCGGCAGGCUUAACACAUGCAAGUCGAACGCCCCGCAAGGGGAGUGGCAGACGGGUGAGUAACGCGUGGGAAUCUACCUAGUUCUACGGAACAACAGUUGGAAACGACUGCUAAUACCGUAUACGCCCUACGGGGAAAGAUUUAUCGGAAUUAGAUGAGCCCGCGUAAGAUUAGCUAGUUGGUGGGGUAAUGGCCUACCAAGGCGACGAUCUUUAGCUGGUCUGAGAGGAUGAUCAGCCACACUGGGACUGAGACACGGCCCAGACUCCUACGGGAGGCAGCAGUGGGGAAUAUUGGACAAUGGGCGCAAGCCUGAUCCAGCCAUGCCGCGUGAGUGAUGAAGGCCUUAGGGUUGUAAAGCUCUUUCACCGAUGAAGAUAAUGACGGUAGUCGGAGAAGAAGCCCCGGCUAACUUCGUGCCAGCCGCCGCAGUAACAC